UAUGUAAUGUCUGGGAAACUGCCCGAUGGAGGGGGAUAACUACUGGAAACGGUAGCUAAUACCGCAUAACGUCUUCGGACCAAAGUGGGGGACCUUCGGGCCUCACACCAUCGGAUGUGCCCAGAUGGGAUUAGCUAGUAGGUGGGGUAAUGGCUCACCUAGGCGACGAUCCCUAGCUGGUCUGAGAGGAUGACCAGCCACACUGGAACUGAGACACGGUCCAGACUCCUACGGGAGGCAGCAGUGGGGAAUAUUGCACAAUGGGCGCAAGCCUGAUGCAGCCAUGCCGCGUGUAUGAAGAAGGCCUUCGGGUUGUAAAGUACUUUCAGUGGGGAGGAAGGCGUUAAGGUUAAUAGCCUUGACGAUUGACGUUACCCGCAGAAGAAGCACCGGCUAACUCCGUGCCAGCAGCCGCGGUAAUACGGAGGGUGCAAGCGUUAAUCGGAAUUACUGGGCGUAAAGCGCACGCAGGCGGUCUGUCAAGUCGGAUGUGAAAUCCCCGGG
rnacentral:rRNA from 1 species